UCCCUUUUUUUUUUUUUUUUUUUUUUUCGUGUCGUGUUGUGUCGUGUAUCAAAAC
rnacentral:ribozyme from 14 species